ensembl:snoRNA SNORA5C small nucleolar RNA, H/ACA box 5C
UGCAGUCAAGUCAAAUUCAGCCCCCGCUUCUGUCAUAGCGGGCACUGGCCCAGAUGGCUGCCACAGCAAGCGCCACAGUUCAUGGGCCCUGAGUCCCCUACUCUGGGACCUGGGGAUAAGUUUGGCUGUGGACAUUA